rnacentral:rRNA from 1 species
GUGGCGGACGGGUGAGGAACGCGUGAGAACCUGCCUCAAGGUCGGGGACAACAGUUGGAAACGACUGCUAAUACCGGAUGAGCCGAAUAGGUAAAAGAUUUAUCGCCUAGAGAGGGGCUCGCGUCUGAUUAGCUAGAUGGUGAGGUAAAGGCUUACCAUGGCGACGAUCAGUAGCUGGUCUGAGAGGAUGAGCAGCCACACUGGGACUGAGACACGGCCCAGACUCCUACGGGAGGCAGCAGUGGGGAAUUUUCCGCAAUGGGCGAAAGCCUGACGGAGCAAUACCGCGUGAGGGAGGAAGGCUCUUGGGUUGUAAACUUCAAAACUUAGGGAAGAAAAAAAUGACGGUACCUAAUGUAAGCAUCGGCUAACUCCGUGCCAGCAGCCGCGGUAAUACGGAGGAUGCAAGCGUUAUCCGGAAUCAUUGGGCGUAAAGAGUCCGUAGGUGGCACUUCAAGUCUGCUUUCAAAGACCGAAGCUCAACUUCGGAAAGGGAGUGGAAACUGAAGAGCUAGAGUAUAGUAGGGGUAGAGGGAAUUCCUAGUGUAGCGGUGAAAUGCGUAGAGAUUAGGAAGAACACCAGUGGCGAAGGCGCUCUACUGGGCAUAUACUGACACUGAGGGACGAAAGCUAGGGGAGCGAAAGGGAUUAGAUACCCCUGUAGUCCUA